CAAGCCCUAGAAAAUUAAAAGGGGGAAUGGAAACUUAUUGUGGGUUUCACAAAGAAAAAAUGGGUCCGGACUUUUCCUAACUGUAACCUUCUCCUGUUACAGAUGUCAGCACAGAAAAGCUGGAUACAAAGAGCAUGAAGAGAAGACAGAUCUGUCCAGACUCCUCCUGACCACCUGGGAUUCCACCCUGAAGAUGGAGAUAAGUCUAGAACAUGGCUGGACUGCAUGCACACAAUUGUGACAGCACAUAUGUGAAGUCGGGGACAGCUGUGGGUCUCCCUCAACCUCUACAUGGCUUCCAGGCCUAGACUGGACUCCGGUUGCCUGGCUUGUGUAGCAAGCACCUUUAUGCACUGAGUCAUCUUACUGGUCCCAAGGAUUUAAAAUAUAUUAAAACACUUUCACUAUU